rnacentral:rRNA from 1 species
GGGGAUACCCGGGAAACUGGGGAUAUACCCCAUAGACUAUGGAAUCUGGAAUGAUCUGUAGUCGAAAGGUCCGCCGCUUUAGGAUGGGUCUGCGGCCGAUUAGGUUGUUGUUGGGGUAACGGCCCAACAAGCCUGUAAUCGGUACGGGUUGUGGGAGCAAGAGCCCGGAGAUGGAUUCUGAGACACGAAUCCAGGCCCUACGGGGCGCAGCAGGCGCGAAAACUUUACAAUGCGGGAAACCGUGAUAAGGGAACUCCGAGUGCCCGUUAAAUCGGGCUGUCCACCAGUUUAGACAACUGGUGAAGAAAGGGCCGGGCAAGACCGGUGCCAGCCGCCGCGGUAAUACCGGCGGCUCGAGUGGUGGCCACUAUUACUGGGCUUAAAGCGUUCGUAGCUGGUUUGUUAAGUCUCUGGGGAAAUCUACCGGCUUAACCGGUAGGCGUCUCAGGGAUACUGGCAGACUAGGGACCGGGAGAGGUGAGAGGUACUCCAGGGGUAGGAGUGAAAUCCUGUAAUCCUUGGGGGACCACCUGUGGCGAAGGCGUCUCACCAGAACGGCUCCGACAGUGAGGGACGAAAGCUGGGGGAGCAAACCGGAUUAGAUGCCCGGGUAGUCCCAGCUGUAAACGAUGCGCGUUAGGUGUAUCGGUGACCACGAGUCACCGAGGUGCCGAAGAGAAAUCGUGAAACGUGCCGCCUGGGAAGUACGGUCGCAAGGCUGAAACUUAAAGGAAUUGGCGGGGGAGCACCACAACGGGUGGAGCCUGCGGUUUAAUCGGACUCAACGCCGGAAAACUCACCAGUUAAGACAGCUGAAUGAUAGUCGGGCUGAAGACUCCACUUGACUAGCUGAGAGGAGGUGCAUGGCCGUCGUCAGUUCGUACUGUGAAGCAUCCUGUUAAGUCAGGCAACGAGCGAGACCCACGCCAACAGUUGCUAGCUCGUCCUCCGGGAUGGAGGGGACACUGUUGGGACCGCCUCUGCUAAAGAGGAGGAAGGAAUGGGCAACGGUAGGUCAGCAUGCCCCGAAUUACCUGGGCUACACGCGGGCUACAAUGGGUGGGACAAUGGGUAUCGACACCGAAAGGUGAAGGCAAUCUCCUAAACCCAUCCUUAGUUCGGAUUGUGGGUUGCAACUCACCCACAUGAAGGCUGGAAUUCUGU